CAGUCGCCGCGGGAAUACAGAGGGUGCGAGCGUUAAUCGGAUUUACUGGGCGUAAAGCGUGCGUAGGCGGCUAAUUGAGUCGGAUGUGAAAUCCCCGAGCUUAACUUGGGAAUUGCAUUCGAUACUGGUUAGCUUGAGUGUGGGAGAGGAUGGUAGAAUUCCAGGUGUAGCGGUGAAAUGCGUAGAGAUCUGGAGGAAUACCGAUGGCGAAGGCAGCCAUCUGGCCUAACACUGACGCUGAGGUACGAAAGCAUGGGGAGCAAACAGGAUUAGAUACCCCCGUAGUCCCUGUCUCUUAUAC
rnacentral:rRNA from 1 species